rnacentral:rRNA from 1 species
AAACCCAUGUGAACAUACCUAUUGUUGCUUCGGCGGGAUUGCCCCGGGCGCCUCGUGUGCCCCGGAUCAGGCGCCCGCCUAGGAAACUCAACUCUUGUUUUAUUUUGGAAUCUUCUGAGUAGUUUUUACAAAUAAAUAAAAACUUUCAACAACGGAUCUCUUGGUUCUGGCAUCGAUGAAGAACGCAGCGAAAUGCGAUAAGUAAUGUGAAUUGCAGAAUUCAGUGAAUCAUCGAAUCUUUGAACGCACAUUGCGCCCGCCAGUAUUCUGGCGGGCAUGCCUGUCUGAGCGUCAUUUCAACCCUCAUGCCCCUAGGGCGUGGUGUUGGGGAUCGGCCAAAGCCCGCGAGGGACGGCCGGCCCCUAAAUCUAGUGGCGGACCCGUCGUGGCCUCCUCUGCGAAGUAGUGAUAUUCCGCAUCGGAGAGCGAUGAGCCCCUGCCGUUAAACCCCCAACUUUCUAAGGUUGACCUCAGAUCAGGUAGGAAUACC